GGGGAAUAUUGCGCAAUGGGGGAAACCCUGACGCAGCAAUACCGCGUGAGUGAAGAAGGUUUUCGGAUCGUAAAGCUCUGUUAUUGGGGAAGAAAAAAAGACGUUACCGACAGAAUACGCAACGGCUAACUUCGUGCCAGCAGCCGCGGUAAUACGAAGGGUGCAAGCGUUAAUCGGAAUUACUGGGCGUAAAGCGCGCGUAGGUGGUUCGUUAAGUUGGAUGUGAAAGCCCCGGGCUCAACCUGGGAACUGCAACCAAAACUGGCGAGCUAGAGUAUGGCAGAGGGUGGUGGAAUUUCCUGUGUAGCGCUGAAAUGCGUAGAUAUAGGAAGGAACACCAGUGGCGAAGGCGACCACCUGCGCUAAUACUGACACUGAGGUUCGAAAGCGUGGGGAGCAAACA
rnacentral:rRNA from 1 species